UGCUUGUUACUAUUUUUACUUUUUUUUCUAAUAAUUUAAAUAUAAUUUGUUUGUAAUUAAUUUAACAAGAUAACAAGCAAAAAUUAAAGAAAUAUAUGUUCAACUUUAGAAGAAAAAGCAACUAUAUAUUUUUGAAGGAUGACUUCGACUGAAUAAGUCGAGCUGGGUCUACCACAUUUUACUUUACCAUCACAUGAAAUCCGCGAGAAAUGCUACUUUCAAAUGAAAUUAAAUCCAAAAUUCAAAUGAUCGGUGGAGCGGUCGGUCAUCCAAGAAUGGAAGUCAUCCAAGAAUGGAAGUAACCGUUUCUUGAUUGAUUUCUUUUAGUUGCUGUUGAUCGUGGUAAGCUUCUGUUCCGUCUCUUGCCUCUCCCGCGCUUCCAGCCCUCCACCACCACAACCGCUCGCUCUCCCGCCGGCGCUCUCCACCACCACAGCUGCUCGCUCUCCCGCCGGCGCUCUCCACCACCACCGCUGCUCGCUCUCCAGCCAUCGACCUCCACCACCACCGUCGUGCCCCGAAGUGAAUGGCAAUUUGCAAACGAGGGUUUUAAUCGAGGAGUCUCGAUUCAUCUCAAGCUGCAUUAUCUACGACUCUAAAUAUUGUAAGCUACCUUGAGGGUUUUCUCCCCAAAACUUCAAGAUCGGUGGUUUCAUGGAGUUGAAGUUUUAAUUGGUUGCUAAAGGUGGAUG